rnacentral:rRNA from 1 species
GUGGGGAAUAUUGGACAAUGGGCGCAAGCCUGAUCCAGCCAUGCCGCGUGAGUGAUGAAGGCCUUAGGGUUGUAAAGCUCUUUCGUCAGGGAAGAUAAUGACGGUACCUGAAGAAGAAGCCCCGGCUAACUUCGUGCCAGCAGCCGCGGUAAUACGAAGGGGGCUAGCGUUGUUCGGAAUUACUGGGCGUAAAGCGCACGUAGGCGGACAUUUAAGUCAGGGGUGAAAUCCCGGGGCUCAACCCCGGAACUGCCUUUGAUACUGGGUGUCUGGAGUAUGGAAGAGGUAAGUAGAAUUCCGAGUGUAGAGGUGAAAUUCGUAGAUAUUCGGAGGAACACCAGUGGCGAAGGCGGCUUACUGGUCCAUUACUGACGCUGAGGUGCGAAAGCGUGGGGAGCAAACAGGAUUAGAUACCCGAGUAGUCC